AGCAGCCGCGGUAAUUCCAGCUCCAAUAGCGUAUAUUAAAGUUGUUGCAGUUAAAAGCUCGUAGUUGAAUUUCGGGAUCAGUUGGUCGGUCGUGCCUCGGUACGUACUGGUCAAAUUGAUUCCUACCUUCUGACGAACCACGAUGUCAUUAAUUUGGUGUCGCGGGAAAUCAGGACUGUUACUUUGAAAAAUUAGAGUGUUUAAAGCAGGCUCGCGCUUGAAUACAUUAGCAUGGAAUAAUGAAAUAGGACGUUUGAUUCUAUUUUGUUGGUUUCUAGGAUCGACGUAAUGAUUAAUAGGGAUAGUUGGGGGCAUUAGUAUUCAAUUGUCAGAGGUGAAAUUCUUGGAUUUAUUGAAGACUAACUACUGCGAAAGCAUUUGCCAAGGAUGUUUUCAUUAAUCAAGAACGAAAGUUAGGGAUCGAAGACGAUCAGAUACCGUCGUAGUCUUAACCAUAAACUAUGCCGACUAGGGAUCGGAUGAUGUUAAUUUUUUAAUGUACUCAUUCGGCGCCUUACGG
rnacentral:misc_RNA from 1 species